rnacentral:lncRNA from 1 species
AUGAGUGGCAGGAAGAGAGCAGGCGGAGGAAUGUGCCCCCGAACUGCAGGCUGGGGACAUCUGGUCAGACUCCACUCCACACGACGUCAGGGCUGCGUGACUCUGCGUAACCUGUCGGACUCCGACUUCCUCUCUGUCGCGCCCAGGCCAUCUCCUCCUUCCGCGAGCGCCUUGCCACCUUCUCCAUCCGGGGACCGCCGCAGUGCUGCUUCUUGUCCCUGCCAGUGGCGCGAGGCAGGACGCCAAGCCGGACACCAGAGCUUGCCAGCGCGCGGAGGAAACAACGCUCGCGGGGCGGGGCGGCCGGGCACGGCGUCACUUCCGGAGGGCGCGGUGGAAUUUCCGGUACGGCGGUCCGCGAUCCGGCACCUGCUUUGCUGGUGCGCUGGAGGCCCGCGUGGGAGCGUGAUGGUCCCGCCAGCCCUCCCUCCGUCCCUUCUCAGUCUAGAACCGGGAGCCGCCGUCUUCCCACCACGGUUGCCCGGGGAAGGGGCAGUGUUCUGCAGGGAGGCCGAGGACUGGCAAGUUCGCAGAGAUGGCAUGGAGGGGGCUUGAAGGGCCCCUGCUCAGGGCUGGGGACGACAGAGAAGGCGGCUGCCCCGCAGCCUCCCUCCCGGGCCCGGAGUGCAGUGCAAGAUCUUCGAGUCUCCCCCACCCUGGCUGUCCAACGCUCUCACCUGGGACUCCGUUCAUCUCUAGGGGACAGGUGGACACAUCGUAUGGCGGGUGGGUGGGAGGAACUGGGGACCCCGGACAGGUGCUUGUUUUAAAAUACGGAGACAGGUGUCUGGAAGUAGCCCAUUUUGAGGUGUAAAAUGUCGCGUUCUGCCAGAUUAGCCCCAGUGCCUGGGCUGGUUUGAGGGGACAGGUCACUGGUUGAAUUCAACCAACCCAGAGCCUCUGAGUAUGUGU